AAUAUAGAUCAAUCAAUUAAAAUGCUGGUCUAUCUAACACUAUGCACCAAGCAGUUAAGAGUUUUGAGGUUAGAAGUUUGAACACCUGUUCACAGUAAUCCUCAUGAGGAGUUUUGUUGAAGGGAAAUUUUGCACAGAGAUGCCUUGAAUGGGGAUAAUGUAGACAAGCCACCUACAAACAUAUAUCAAAUACAUAAUUCCAAC